rnacentral:rRNA from 1 species
GAUCAACGCUGGCGGCGUUCCUCAUACAUGCAAGUCGAGCGAACAGACGUGGAGCUUGUUCCACAGACGUUAGCGGCGGACGGGUGAGUAACACGUGGAUACCCUACCUCUAAGACUGGGAUAACUUCGAGAAACCGGGGCUAAUACCGGAUAAUAUAUUUAACCGCAUGGUUCAAUAGUGAAAGGAGGCUUUGCUGUCAAUCAUAGAUGUAUCCGCGCCGCAUUAGAUAGUUGGGAAGGUAACGGCUUACCAAGGCGACGAUGCGUAGCCGACCUGAGAGGGUGAGCGGCCACGCUGGGACUGAGACACCGUCCAGACCUCUAAUAGAGGCAGCAGUGGGCAAGCUACAGGAAUGGGCGCAAGCCUGACUCAUCAACCCCGCGCGAGUGAUGAAGGUCCUCGUGUCGGAUAGCUGUGUUAUUGGGGACGAUCAACUGUGUAACUUGCGUUGCGCGUCUUGACGGUGCCUGAUCAGACAGGCACGGGUAACUACGUG